rnacentral:rRNA from 1 species
AUUGAACGCUGGCGGCAGGCCUAACACAUGCAAGUCGAGCGAGCGGCGGACGGGUGAGUAAUGUCUGGGGACUGCCUGAUCGAGGGGGAUAACUACUGGAAACGGUAGCUAAUACCGCAUACUAUCGGAUAACCCAUAUGGGAUUAGCUAGUAGGUAAGGUAACGGCUUACCUAGGCGACGAUCCCUAGCUGGUCUGAGAGGAUGACCAGCCACACUGGGACUGAGACACGGCCCAGACUCCUACGGAGGCAGCAGUGGGGAAUAUUGAACAAUGGGCGAAAGCCUGAUGCAGCCAUGCCGCGUGUAUGAAGAAGGUCUUAGGAUUGUAAAGUACUUUCAGUCGGGAGGCGUUACCGACAGAAGAAGCACCGGCUAACUCCGUGCCAGCAGCCGCGGUAAUAC